rnacentral:lncRNA from 1 species
CUACACAUAAAAAGAUCAGACAAGAGACCCCGUCCAUCUGAGAACCGAGCGCCGCUUCUGCUUCUUUUCUUCGUUUCACCUUCCUCACAUCCACACUCUCGUCCCUCAAAAACACACACAAACCUAAGAUCCACCACACACGGAGUUAAAAGAAGACAAAAAAACAGAAAACAAGAAGAGAAAGAAGAACGAAAUACAUGGGAAGGGAAACGACAAAGAAAAAUGAAACAUAGAAAAAUGAAGAUUUAAUAAAGAUUUAAGUGCUAAUGAAUUGCUAGAAGCAUUAAAGCUUAAAUACUUUCCUGGGUGUUUAUUGAGUUUUCUUCAAGCCUAAAGCACGCUUUCUGUUGCUCAAGUUUAGUUUUAUACCACCUGCUACUGUUUCCUUUUAUAUUUUCUCUAUUUCAAGGUAUUACUCACUCACUCAGCUAUGUAAUUUUCACUUUCUGUCUAUGGAAUUUAUAAUAGUGUUGAGCAUAUGAAUUUCUG